UAUAUAUUCCCUCCGUCCCAAAAUUCUUGCCUUAGAUUUGUUUAGAUAUGAAUGUAUGUAGUCACGUUUUAGUAUUAAGAUACAUUCAUUUUUAGACAAACUUAAGACAAGAAAUUUGAGACGGAGGUAGUAAUAU
rfam:Hordeum vulgare subsp. vulgare, WGS project CAJW01000000 data, contig: morex_contig_43853